rfam:Candidatus Nealsonbacteria bacterium RBG_13_37_56 RBG_13_scaffold_414, whole genome shotgun sequence.
GCCGAUGUAGCUUAGUGGCAAAGCAGUGGUUUCGUAAACCACCGACGGCAGUUCAAUUCUGCCCAUCGGCU